rnacentral:misc_RNA from 1 species
UAGGGAUAGCAGAGGAAAGCCCGCAGCCCGAGGAAGGAGGAGCGAGGACUUGUAACGGAUAGCCCGACCCUUG